CACAGCGAUUUGAGAUGGUGACCAUCGGAUGGCUCCUCGCAGCGAAUCUCAACCGUUCAUCUUUUUCACCGCGUGGUAUAAAAGCGCCCAGACUCGCUGUGAAACCCUAGCCAGCCGCCGCCCGCAAUCCCCAAUCCCGUCGCGACCGAUUCGCCUCCUCCCCUCCACCUACUUCGUCGCGCGCGACGGCCGACGAUGCUGCUCAGCCUCCACCCCCGGCUUCCACCGCUCCUCUCGUCGUCCUCCCCAAUCCUCCCUCGCCAUGGAGCUCGGUCUCAGACAAGCGCGAGAGGAGGUCGCCGCUGCUGUGCACAACGAGGAGGCGCACAUCGACGGGCGCGGGAAGGGAGCCACCAGGUCGUCGAGCGCCUUGUGCUCCCAACACCGUCAGCCAGCGCGUCUCCGGCGAGCGGAGGAGGCCGCCGUCAUCAAGCAUGAUGAGGAGGUGCGCAUCGACGCGCGACGGAGGGAGUGCUCCGCGUGUGCGCCUCCGUUGCUGGUGUGUUGCUCCUUCCUCCCCAUGGCCUCCUCGUCCUCCUCCACGCUGCCUCCGUGCCCAACCUCCUCUACAUGGACGUGAGGCUCCAUAAUCCAUAUACUGUUUCCUCUGCCCCGCCUCCUCUGCACAACCUUGCAGAUGCUGAGAUGGGACGGUGCCAACAACAACAUCAACCACUGGUCGUCUCCUUCCUCCCCCUACAGCUAGGGUUUGGGUGACCCAUAGGUUCCAACAGUACCUUCAGAAGCCCUGUUUCCCCAAUUAAAUCAGGUUCCAGUGACCUAGGUGGAUCAAUCUAGAAGGGUGGCCGUGGUUUCACAGUGAGGAAUGAUUGUGGAGUGCUUAUUGUUGCAGGAGCAGAAUGAAGCAUGUCCGCCUCUGUACUUGUAACAUGUUAGUCUUCCGUUCCUGAAAAACAUCUAGAGUUGAGAAAGGUUGUAACCUUGGCGCUUCUCUGUAUAGCUGAAGAACAGAAGAAUGAAAUAAGUAAGGCCUCAUUUGGAUUUGCACUACCCAGAGAUCUUCAUUUUGGACAUGCCAACAACUGUUGAUUGUACAGGUGAAACAUAACUCUGUAGAUUGGACAUGACAAAAUACCAUCUUGCUAACUCUGUAGAUGGUUUUUGUUUGGCCAUUGGACCCAAUGCUUAGUGCCUUCAUUACUUCGGCAUCAUUAGUUAUGACUUAGAAUUGUUUCCAUGACUUAAAUUGCAAGUAUUGAAUUAAAUUUCAGUAAGCUGUUAAUUAGUUAGAGCCACAUUACAGCAUUGCCUGGUCUACUUGUGUAUUACAAUACUCCUGCACUUCUAUGGCUCGUAAGUGUACUUAUACAAGAAACAAGAUGCAUUUUUUACAGUAUUGGUGCGAUGUAGCAUCUCUUUCCAGUAUUGUGGCUAUUGAAUUUGCAGAAUUGGUGGAUUACUUUUUAUAUUGCAAGAGUUUCUUCAAUUCUGAACAGAGUGUAACAAUGCAAUAAUAUAUAAUGUUCACCUGCUUAUAUUUUCUAUGGUGGCUUGCCCAGUAACAGACUGGAGCAAAGACUGGAGCAAAGACGUAGAUGAAGAUCUAUGAAAGAUUCGACCCUAAUAUAAUUGUGCAAGGUUGUCAUUUCUCCUUAUUCUUUUGGUUCAGGUGUGUUAUGGAAGAAGAAAAUGAAGUUAUUCAAAUUGUCCCUGAUCUCGAUGUUCUACAGGGCUAGCGUUCUUGACUAAGGAGGAAAAAAGAGGCAUAUGUUUUAGUUUUGAAAUAAAGGAUCGGAACUCAACUAUAAAGUGUAUAUGAGGCGAGGCAAUUUUCUUUGGCCAGUUCUUUAUUUAUUUAUUUGAAGAUUUUUUAGAUUUAUGGUUAAUGCCAAUUUAAUUUCUGCAAGAGUUUUGGCUUUGUCAAUGCCAUGAUAUUAAUUCCUUAGUUAUUCUCCAAAAUACUACCUUUUGUCAGAUCUGUAUGGAUAUCUUUGGCGGAGCCUUGGCUCGGUGAGCCUGGGCAGCUGUCCAGGCUCAGCCGAGGAAUCUCCAUGCUGUUGGUAGUGGGAGUGAUUUAAUCAGCUGUUUAUGGGGAUAAAUGUCCAAAAUUGUUGUGCUGACCUCCAGUUAUCAGGUUGUAGCAGAUCAUGUCAUGUCUAUCUGAGUGGCGAGAAAUCAAGCAAAAGUAAAAGGUACAUCUCUGCAUUACUUAUCAGAACCAUGCCCUUGCAAUAUUGAGUGACUUAAUUUUUUAGCAUUGAAUGGCAUUCAUCAAUGGAAACUCAAGAAAUGAAGGUUUUUUUGGGUAUUGUAUUGCUUUUGUGAGCGUCUCUUCAUGUACUUCAGUGGCAAUGAGCAAAUAAAAUCUUACCAUUAAUAUAUAAUCUAUAAUUUACAGAGGAAUCUGCACCUUAACACUACCCUGUUUUCUAGGAUUCUCCAACUUAGUCUGAACAUUUAGGUGUUAAUUAUGUCUGUGUAAACUUUAUUUCUAUUUAAAUUAUCUUUAUGAUUGAUGAUUGAUAUAUAGUUAUUUACCAUAUGAUUUCGAUAUUUCUUCAAAAGAAAUUAGCACCUGGGUUGGGUGGCAACGUGUCCGAGCUGCCAAGCUAGGGCUAUAUAUCUAUACUAUCUUUGUAUUGGUGACAUCCAAUACAUUGAGCCACAUAAAUCUUUUUUUCUGUCCUGGUAGUUAUCAUCAUGUUUUUUCCUGUUUAGGUGCUCCAGAGAUGCAACGUUUUCAAAUGGCACCUCAUCUUUUUGUUCAUUUAUGUUGUUUGUCAUAGUUUUACACUAAGGGAUAAUUGGCUAUAUAAUGAUUCUCAUAGUUUUAAAAUAAAAAGGAAGUGUUUUAUUGUAGGUCUUUGGCCAUGGAGUUAAAGUUACUGGCUGGUACAAAAUUUUAGAUUCUAGGCACUAGAGGAACUAAAUUUGAGGUUUAGUUCUAUGAAUUGGUUGGUUUUCAGUGUUUUUUAUUUUUAUCAUAUAAUUAUUGAAACAUGAAGUGGCAUUGACACAUUUUUUUUACCAUAAGUAUCACUUCUCUGAGUUACUAAUAUUUUUUCCAAGAUCAGAUUAUUUCCUGGUCAUUUACCUAUUUCUUUGUAUUCACACUAGAAGUUGCUAUUGUCUAGGCUAUGUAGUCUGUAACUCUACUAGCAGGAGCGUCUUCACUAGGUAUAUUGGGGAUCCUAAUGCGCUGAUGGUGCUGCUGAUAUGACCAAAUGAAGUGCUAACAGCUUGUAUGGACAUUCUUAUUGUUGAACAUGUUUUAUGCUAUUCAUCAAGCCAUACCAAGUCGAUUAUCUUUGUAUGCUCUACUUCUGUCUUUAUUUAUGUCACGGUUGUGUGAUAAUCUAGAUAGUUGUAUUUUCCCUUCAAAUAGUGUUAGAUGAUUGAGUAAUUAUGGGUGGAAGUUACUGUUGUUUUGCACAUUUCCUUGUGUUGUCAUCUGCCUAGCUGCUGGUUGUUUGACAUUUGCUUUUCUCUUAGACCAAUUGAGGUACAUAUGUAUUAUGUAGUCGUAGUUUCAGUUUCUUGGUUUAUAUUCCAUGGUCUGUUCAGAUUAUGACAUGUACAAAUGUACAUUAAGGUCUGCUAAUUGGUUUGUUGGCCGACUUAUUCAUACUUACUCUAUUAUAGUUUCCUAAUUCAUCCAUAUUUCAGGAAUUUGGUAAGUAAACAAAAUAUUAAUGAAAUAGGAAAAUAUAUAGGUGUCAAAUUCAGCUACAUUGCGUGUGCAUGAUAUAUUUGGUGAAAUAUAUGAGUAAGCUCCAAAAAAAUAUGUGGGUUCCGAGUAUUGACCUAUUAUGGUUAUUUUUUUGGUUCCUCUCUUUCUCCUCGAAGCAUGUCCAUUCCCAAUAAUGUGAAUGCUUUGUUUUGUAGCCUGAAAAGGAAGCUUUUGCACUGCAACUCAAAUGGAUCUGGUUCAAAUUAGUCUUGGUGAAGUAUUACAGUCAUGUUUUUGCUUUUUUCCAUACUUGCAUUAGGUGUGUAAAUAUUUUGCCCAAAUGGCUUUCUUCAUGUUAUAGCUGAUAAAAGUCAGGUCCCUUGUGUGAUAUUUGGCCAUGUUCUAGACCAGAACAUAUGUAUAUUAAUUCAACGACGGACAAUUGGCUCAGAAAUAACAUGUGAGUCCAAUCUCGAAGGCUGCAGUCCAACACUGACCACAAGUAAGCCCCAUGACCUCCUCUGCUUCUCCCCUGCUUGCUGGAGGAUGGCACGCAGCAGUGUGGGGCAUUUGGCAGAGGUGUGCUUCUUUAUUUUUCUUCUACCUAUUUAUGAUAUUUUGCCAUUGGUUUGCAUAUGGGAUGAGACACAUAUAUCUCUUGAAACUGACAGCAGCAGUAGCUCUAUCAGAGUACUCUUGGAAGGAGCAGUCCUCAUGCAAGGAAGUAAUCGAGAGAACCUAUCUUUGGGGUCAUAGAAUAAUGCAGCAUCUGUCCUCGCAUAAUGUUCAUACCUUAUGAGACAUCUGUGUUGUUUUCUUACAGAUGGAUCCUCGUGACUCGGAUUAGCAAAAACACGAUUGCAAUUAUGGAGGGCGCCAUAAAACAGAGAUACAUCCUCACAUGAUCAAUAUGGAUUGCUUGGUUUGAGCGGCAGUUUAGCCUAUUAUUAUGCUUGUUUUGGUGCAGUACAAGAAGUUCAUUGGUUGCAAUUUUUUAGAUGAAUAUUGAUGUCCUAUAUUAGUAUUGUCUGUAUCUCUGAAUAUUGGGAGUUGAUAGCUUUUUCUUUGUCAAACAAAAUUUAUGGAACACUCCAGAUUGAUUGAA